rnacentral:rRNA from 1 species
UACGUAGGUGGCAAGCGUUGUCCGGAAUUAUUGGGCGUAAAGGAUGCGUAGGUGGUCUUUUAAGUGGGAUGUGGAAUCCCUGGGCUUAACCCAGGAACUGCAUUCCAAACUGGGUAUCUAGAGUGCGGGAGAGGAAAGUGGAAUUCCUAGUGUAGCGGUGAAAUGCGUAGAGAUGCGGAGGAACACCGAUGGCGAAGGCGAUUCUCUGGACCGUAACUGACGCUGAGGCAUGAAAGCGUGGGUAGCAAAC